AAACAGACACAGGGAGAACCACAUCUCCAAGACCUCCCUAGAUGCGCCGGCCUAAACCAACGGCGGCGACCGCAAAAUCAUACCUCACACCGCCACGCGCCUCUUGACCGACAAGAGGAACGAAGCUCCGCCUAAUCGACCGGAGCUACCGCGAUGGUUCUCUCACGAAGCGAAGCAAACAUCGGCAAUGGCGAAAGAAAAAUCGCUACGAAAGGACAAGAGAUCUUACCGGCAAUGGCGAAAGAGGAUCCGUCGGUGAAGCCGUAUUCGGAACUCAGGUAUCACGAAACUCUGAUUCUCCGAUCCUCCUCUCCCGUUCUGUUGCGAAUUGCUUCUAUCGCGAUCUUGAUUCGCGGCGAUUAAUUCGACUAUCCACUUACGCUCAGGCUCUGUGCUGAUUUUCGUUGCGAUUUUUGCAGAGAGGAUAAUGAAGUGGAGUGAUACUACAUGCGAGAGUGAUGAAGAAGAACGUGGAGGUUGUGGUUUGAUGAAGGUUUGGAAGGGAUUUCAG
rnacentral:lncRNA from 1 species